ACUCAGGGCUGGAAAGGUCUCCCGUCCCAGCAGAGUCCAGACUGACAGCAAGGCAGAAGGCAGAACUUAUGGACAGGUGGAGAGCUGAUGUCUAAGGAUCUUUCCAGAGAUGAUGGCAAUGAUACAUCUAACUGCUUACGAGGCCAUGGAACUCUGAGGAGCUGGCUUAUGAGAAAGAAAACAAAGGGGGCCGGAGAAGACAGGAGGGCAGACAGACAGUUUGCUUUUGCAAGACGAAUUAAUUCAU